rnacentral:rRNA from 1 species
UACCAGCACCCCGAGUGGUCGGGACGAUUAUUGGGCCUAAAGCAUCCGUAGCCGGUCCUGCAAGUCUUCCGUUAAAUCCAGCUGCCUCAACAGAUGGGCUGCGGGGGAUACUACAUGGCUAGGAGGCGGGAGAGGCAAGCGGUACUUUAUGGGUAGGGGUAAAAUCCGUUGAUCCAUAGAAGACCACCAGUGGCGAAGGCGGCUUGCCAGGAACGCGCUCGACGGUG